AACAAAGAGAGGUGGGACCAAACGCCAGUGAGGGGUGAAUCUGCCUUAAAGAAUUGCACGAGUCUCGGCCUUGAGGAAAGCUACAAAAUGGCCAAAGGACCAUUGCCCCAAGAUGUUGUUCAUCCCACGGUCCACUCCACACUUCUACGUAAUGUCCGAGUUUGCCACAUCUAAAGUAUCUCCAACUAACCAACAUCUGGAGCCCUCAGUGCCAGGAAACAUUCAGAUUUCUUCACGGAUAUUCGCUGCAGCCUAAAAAUUCAACAUCAGGAAAGUGUUUAAAGAAAUGUCCAACAAUGAGGAACAGAAGGAAAAUGAUUCAAGGAAAGAACCAUCACGUAGACAUUCGGAGCGACGUGGAAGAAGAAAAUGGGAGUCGUGACAGACCUUCACAAUGACUGUGGGA